rfam:Neotoma lepida isolate 417 scaffold_683, whole genome shotgun sequence.
CAGUGCAGUCACCCAUAAAGUAGAAAGCACUACUAACAGCACUGGAGGGUGUAGUGUUUCCUACUUUAUGGAUGAGUGUACUGU